rnacentral:rRNA from 1 species
UACAGAGGUCCCAAGCAUUGUUCGGAUUCACUGGGCGUAAAGGGUGCGUAGGCGGUCGGGUAAGUCUGAUGUGAAAUCUCACAGCUUAACUGUGAAACUGCAUUGGAUACUAUCCGGCUAGAGGAAUGGAGGGGAGACUGGAAUACUUGGUGUAGCAGUGAAAUGCGCAGAUAUCGGGAGGAACACCGGUGGCGAAGGCGGUUCUCUGGGCCUUACCUGACGCUGAGGAGCGAAAGCGUGGGGAGCGAACAGG